GACAGAGGGGGCAAGCGUUGCUCGGAAUCACUGGGCGUAAAGGGCGCGUAGGCGGGAUGGCAAGUCAGUCGUGAAAUCUCUCGGCUCAACCGAGAAACGUCGGCUGAUACUGCCGUUCUUGAGGGAUGCAGAGGAGACUGGAAUUCCCGGUGUAGCGGUGAAAUGUGUAGAGAUCGGGAGGAACACCGGUGGCGAAGGCGGCCCGCUGGGCAGGAAGACGGGCGCAAGUCCGUCGGCUGACACUGAGGCGCGACAGCGUGGGGAGCAAACAGG
rnacentral:rRNA from 1 species